CAGGUCUUGACAUCCAAAGAACCUUUACGAAAGUAAGGGGUGCCUUCGGGAGCUUUGAGACAGGUGGUGCAUGGUUGUCGUCAGCUCGUGUCGUGAGAUGUUGGGUUAAGUCCCGCAACGAGCGCAACCCUUGCUAUUAGUUGCUAACAUUUCGGAUGAGCACUCUAAUGGGACUGCCCGUGACAAGCGGGAGGAAGGUGGGGAUGACGUCAAAUCAUCAUGCCCUUUAUGAUCUGGGCUACACACGUGCUACAAUGGAUGGUACAGAGAGCAGCGAGGCCGCGAGGUGGAGCGAAUCUCAAAAAGCCAUUCUCAGUUCGGAUUGGAGUCUGCAACUCGACUCCAUGAAGUCGGAAUCGCUAGUAAUCGCGAAUCAGAACGUCGCGGUGAAUGCGUUCCCGGGGUCUUGUACACACCG
rnacentral:rRNA from 1 species